rnacentral:lncRNA from 9 species
CUGAAGAUAAAUCAGGUGAGGCCCCAUCCAGCCCGCUCCUCCACAGGCAGCUCCUAUUUAUUUCCCCACCUGAAGCCCUCUCGCCCUUCCAAGAGACAGGAGUCAGAUGAGGUCUUAGAUCUGCCCAAUCUAUCUUUGUCUCCUUUGUCCUUGUGAGGAAGCUCCUGCCAUUGAAGAUUAAUGGAAAUGCUUCAAAGAUUUCACCAGAAAGCAUAAUGGCUUGGUUUGAAAUACAUCUUAUAAAAAAUAAAAACAGACAACAACAACAACAACAAACUGAGGUCUGGAUGAUGGGAUGAGCCAGCCACACCAAAAGGCAGGGGAAGAGCAUUUCAUUUAGCGGUAAGUCAAGAAAGAAAAGGGCGACCAGUGUGAAGCCUUGGUGACUGUGGGGCAGGUGGAUGG